AAUAAAAAUCUAGAAAUUUUGAUCAGUUCAAAUACGCAAAGUUUUGUCAAAAUUCAAAUGGGACUAACUCCUAUAUCAAGAUGAGAUAGGUGUAUUACCAAAUAUGAUUGGGAAAUAUCUUGGAAUAACCUUUCCAACACAACCAAGUCUGCACAAUUUUUAAUUAAUAUUAGUAAGUUAUGCCCUUCGGAAAUUUGUUGUUUGAAUAAGGAAAUGUACAAUCCGGAUAUUAGAACGGUAGUUUGGUAUUUCCUUGUCGUUUGACUUUAAUUUAUUUUAAGUAAUUGCGUAGAAGUUUAAACCGAAGAUAUUAAGUUUACGCAUUAGAAAAAUAGACUUUGGGUUUUCGGAAAAACAUCACUAGCUUAAGCUCUGACCCGAGUAGCAUGGGGCACGUGGAAUCUCGUAUGAAUCAGCAAGGACCACCUUGCAAGGCUAAAUACUCCUGGGUGACAGAAUAGUAAGUAGUACCGUGAGGGUAGGGAGAAAAGAACCACCAUUGAGGAGUGAAAUACAACAUUACACCAUAAGCUCCUAAGAAGUAGAAGGAGACAUGGCUCUGACCGCGUGCGUGUUUAAGAAUGAGCCGGCGAUUCAUAGGCAGUGCCUUAGAUAAUGGAACUCACCGAAGCUGCAGCAAAAGCGAUUCUUCAUAGGUAAAUUGUCACUACUCUUAAACAAGAACCAAGGUGGUCUAUCCAUGACCAGGAUGAAGCUUCGGUGAAACUAAGUGGAGGUCCAAAUUGACUUAUAUUAAAGAAUCAGUGUAUUAGUUAUGGUUAGGGGUAAAAUGCAACUCGAACCAAAAGCUAGUUUUUUCUCACCAAAAUGCAUUGAGUGGCAGCAGUUGACUAGACAUCUAGGGGUAAAGCAUUGAUUUAAUUCGAUCCGUGAGAGAGGUAAAAAAUUCCAUGCAAAAUCAGAAUACUAGAUACGACCUCAAAAUAACAGGGGUCAAGAUCAUGUAGUGAGACAAUGGGGGAUAAGCUUCAUCGUCAAAACGGAAACAGCCCGGAUCACCAGCCAAGGACCAUAACUUACUACUAAAUGAUAAAAAAGAUAGGGGUGCAGAGACAGCCAAGAGGUUUUCCUAGAAGCAUCUACUCUAAAAAAAGUGCAUAAAAGCUCACUAAUCAAGCUUGUUGCAUCGAAGAUGAAUGGGGAUAAGUGGUAUUCCAAAAGUUGUGGGAUGUAAACAUACAUUGGUAGGGGAGAGUUCCUCCUUAUAGAGAAACCUCAUCAUCAGCGCUGGUGGACGAAACGGAAGAGAGAAUGAGACUUGAGCAACGCAAACAUUUUGAGAAUCCAAUGCCCCAAAAUCCUAAGGUUUCCUCCAAAUAGUUUUUCUAGGUAGGGUGAAUCAAGUCCUAAGAUCAGGCAGAAUGGUGUAGUCGAUGGACAACAGGUGAAUAUUCCAGUACUACCCCACCCCUUGUAAGUCCCGAUGGAUGGAGGAGGCUAGGUUAGCGGAAAGAUGGUUGUUUUUUCCAGAAUGUAAGGCCUCCAUACUUAUUCAAGGUAAAAACGGUUAGAGAAAAUGCCUUGAGCCAAUGUUCGAAUAAAAGGCGUUAUGGCGCUAAAGAAACCCAUGUCAUACUCCAGGAAAAGAUGAAACGACAUUAAUCAAAAGGGUACGUGCAUCCAAGAAAGAGAUAGGUGAGUAGGUAGAUAAUACCAAUUGGUGCGACACAACUCUCUCUAAGGAACUCGGCAAUAUAGCCCCUUAACAUUGGGAGAAGUGGUGCCUACUCACAAAGGGGUUUGUAGUGACUAGGCCCGGGCAACUAUUUACCUAUAACACAUGUCUCCCCAAAGUUGUAAGACAAUGCAUGGGGGUUGUUGCUUGACCACUACCAGAAGUACUAGGAAGUUGGUGUUGUGAAGACAGGGGAGGCGGCAACCAAAGCACCUAUGAACGGCGUUCGUAACUAUAACGGCCUUAAGGUAUCGUAUUACUUUUCAAGUAAAUUUCGACCCGCAUGAUAGGUGUAAUUAUCUGGGUAUUAUCUCGGAGAGAGGCUCGAUGAAAUAGAAAUAUUUGUGAAGAUGUGGACUACCUUCACCUGUGUAGAAGACUUUAUGAAGCUUCACUGUUCCGUGGGAUUGGGUUUGGGCCUAUCUUGCGCAACAUAGGGUGAAGGCAAAUAAGGCCUCAAUCCGGAGGCCCGAGCUAUCAAUGAAAUACUACUCUAAAAGGACUAGAAUUCUUACCUUGUGUCAAAACCUACAGGCCAAGGAAUAGUCUCAUGUACUCAGUUUGUAUAGGGCGUAAGCCUCUUAAAGUGUAACGGAGGUGGGCAAAGGUUUCCUCCGAUUGGACAGAGAUUGGCCCUUGAGUCAAAUGUUGAAGGGACCUUUGACUGCAAGAAUCUCCCAUCGAGAAAGGAAAAAAGUCGGCCUUAGUUAUCUGAUGAUGCUGAGUGGAAGGUUCGUCUCUCAAUGGAUAAAUAUAAUCUAGGGAGUACACGCUGAUCUUUCCUAAGAGCUCACAUCGACGGGAAGGUUUGGCACCUUAUUGUCAGCACUACGCCACAUGGGGUUUCAGUAUGUUCCAAGGGUUUGGCUAUUCGCCCAUUAAAGCAGUACAUGAACUGGGUUCAAACUUCCUGAGACAAUUCUAUCCAUACCCGGUGUGGGCGUUAGAGAAUUGAGAGAAGCUUUCCCUAGUACCAGGGGAACGAGAAGGAUGCAACUAUUGUGUACCAGUUGUUUUGCCCACAUUAAAUGCUAGGUAGAAAAUUGCGGAGCGGAGAACUGCUCAAAGCAUCUAAGUUGAAAGCCCACCCCAAGAUGAGUGCUUUGUGUUUCAGACUUCCUCAAAGCUUCUGGUAGCACAGCCGAGACUACAACAGGUUAUCUGCCCUUGCGGGGAUGGAGCGACCUAAUUUCUUUUGAGAAUUCAAGAGAAGGUGACAUCGAGACGAGCUGUUUAUCAUUACGAUAGGUGUGAAGUUAAAUUG
rnacentral:rRNA from 1 species